UCUCAGCCAGUGGGGUGGUUAAAUGAAUAAAAACUGAAUUAAAAGCCAAUGUUUAUUGGCCUGGUCAUUAGAGAGCCGUAUGUCUUUCCUGAGAGGGCACGGAAGUGAUUUCAGAACUGCACUGAAAAGAACCAGAGGCCAGAAAGUGAGAGUAGUAAAGAACCGCACAUCUUCCUUCUCUUUGUUUUUUCCCUCUUCAAUCCAUUUAUAUCAACUGAACACAGAUCAAAUGCUUACAAAAUGGCAUUAUUAGGGGGGAAAUAAUAGCAUACUGUCUAUUUGCACUUAGGUGAAAAUGGCCAAAGAAUGAACCUAUUUGUGCCAUUAAGCACCAAAAACCAGAAGUGUGCAUAUGUAACAAAAUUGUCAGGACCUUAUUUAUUAGCUAAUUUGCUGAACAUGCUGUGCUAAUGUUGCAAGCUAGCGUAGCUCCAGAAGUAGCACUUAUGUGCUAAAUCAUGACAGUUGCUUUCUAAUAGCAGCAGAGGAUUUGCAGUGGUGCAAAAUGUUAAUAAAUCUGCUCCAUUAUGUGGUGAAGUGAAACGAAAAAUGAUUAUUAAAGACAUACUAGAGUUGUAUCAUUCUGGCUGAUUCUGACUGAGCCACAUUCAGGUUUUUCAGCAGUUUUCUCAGUACUUCCAAAAGGAAAACGAUCACGACUAAUCACAACUUUGAAUCUUUUAGCUACAGAGCCUGUGUUUUAAGCUGUCUAGCUAGUUAACUUGGCGAAUGUUAGAGGUAAAAGUAGUUCUGAUUGCUCUGAUAUAUGUGUACAGGUUUGCCUGCUGUUAAAUAAACCACUGAGAAUAUGAUAAUGCAGGUUUACUAGCAGCUGGCUAGAAAUCCGCUAACUAACAAAGUUAAUGUUUGUGAUGGACAGGCUCGUGGGUGUUUUGCAAGGCUGUGUUUUGACAGGGUUGUUUACUGUUAAAUAAAUCUCUCAUAGUAAAAUACUGCUCAUGUCAAACAUGUGCUAAUUUACUAGCAGUUAGUUAUUAGAGAGUAUGGAGGACAUGUGGUUGGCAGGGUUGCCAGGUCUCACCAAAAUUUCCUACCCAGUCUGAAAAACUGCACAACAGGACCUGAAAAUAUCCCCAAAACAUUGGGCAUUGUACAACUGAGAUGCGUUUGUUGUGAUUUUUUUUUUUUUUUUUUAUCAUUCUUUGCAUGUGAAGCAAGUUCUCAAUGGUUCAGAGAACACACAUUUCUGAUUUGCACUAUGUCUUUUUUUUAUUUUUUAUCAUCACAUAGUCUGGAUAAUAUGCAGUCCAUAAUCCCCUUUCCCUCACUGAAACUGUGCCAUUUUUCUUAAAUAGAAACAGUUCUGUAUAUCGUAGUCACACCGUCUGCACUUACGCUUUCCCUUUGUUUUCCAGAGUCUAUAGUUGUGAAUAUUUAUUUGAUUUAAUUCCAGUUAUUUGCUUUAAAACAAGACCUUGGCAACCAUUAACUAGCCCAAAUGACACAACCUGCAGACUUGCUUUAUUUUUGCAGCCUUGUUCCAAAAAUGGUGUAAAAAAAACACAACACUGGCAACCCUAUAUGUCUGUUUACAAAUUGUAUAAAUACUGGUAUUUUAAUGAUGGUAUGUUUCUUAGGCAUUAAAAACAUAUUUAGAUAUUUUAACAUGAUUCUGCUGCUUUCAAAUCAUUACUGUUUUAUGUUUAUUAUUGCAUACUUUUCUUUUCUGUUGUUGUUGUUGUUGUUUUUUUUUUAAAAAAAUCCUCUUUCUAUGGAUGGGUUGAUGUUUUCACGAUUCCGUUUUCCUCCUGUCAGUCUCUCAUCCAUCCUCUGAUGAAGAUAAUUAAUCAGAACCAGGCUGCCAUAUUGCCAGAGUCUCCACAGGACUAUAGCUCUGGUUCAUUUGGAGGUCACAGCGAUGGAGGAUCAAAGGCUUUCCGAAAGAAGAGAGAACACUCUUUCCCACUCUCACUUUCAUUUUUUUAGGCAGUCAGUCUCUCUCGUUGCUUCUCCAUCCCUCUCUCCCUCUCUCUUUGAUCUCCGCAUUCGUUCUCUGAAAGAAGAGGCAGCAGUCCCUCCCGGCUGUUCCUCUUCUCUUUAGAAUGUCGUAAGAAGCUGCACUUGAUAUCCUCAUAAAACGCGACACACACACACACACACACACACACACACACACACACACACACACACACACAAAUAUACACACACACCCAAACACAACAGAAGCAAAGUCAGGCUCUCUGGGGUUGGCAACCUCCACUUCAGCACUUGUGUGGGAGUCGAGCUGCCUACUUGAAACAAUGCAGCAAUGGAGAGGGGGAGAUGGAAAACGGGAUGGAGUGAGAGCAUGUGAUGGAAAGAGGGAGGGAAAGAGCUAAUUAUGGCAUUGAUGUGGGUUGAUAUGAGUGAAGUGUUCAUGUGCCAAAAGUCCAGAAUAUCACUGGCACAGGGAAGUACACUUAGCAUUGUGAACCCUGUGUGAGUUUUACAUAAGACAUCAAGUGCUGAGGCUUAUUUCAGACCUUCCAAAUCAGUGCUGGUGGUCUGGCAAAACCCAUCAGAAGUUGCCGUGAGUGAGCCAAUGAAGGCGAAAAGUUGGUUUUGGCUAAAAUUGGGUUUUUCUGCUUGUAACGUACUUCGACACCUCAGUUUACGACUCUGUGGCUGUCUCUCUGCAGAAGCCUUAAAGCAGUGGUCAGCAAACCUCCUGCUUGAGAUCUACCUUCAUGCAGGUUUCAUCUCCAACCAAAAUCUCACACGCUUGUUUUAGUUGAUCAAGAACUUCUGAAGGCAAUGAUUAGAUGGUCAGGUGGGCACGAUUAUGGUUGGAGCUAAAGUCUUCAGGAAGAGGGAUCUCCAGGAACAGGGUUGGUGAUCACUGUCUUAAAGGUUCUUUUAUAGAACCCAACAGAGUGCUUUCCUGUCAGAAAGGGUUUCAAGAAGAAGACAUUUUUGAAAGCUAAGACCCUAUAAAUAUCCAACGAACACUCCAAGAACCCCACUUUCAACACGUGGAGUGAGAGAAAGAACGACAGAGGAGCAAGGAAGGAAGAAAGUGGGGAAACAAAGGUAGUAAGAAAGAAAGAAAGAGUGGUUGAGAAAAAAAGAGAAAAAAGAACAGAAAGACAAAAACAGAAAGACAGGAGAAAAAUACAGAAGGGGAAAUGCAAGAACAGAAGAAAAAAAGAGAGAAAGACAGUGUGACUGAAAGAAAUGCAGAAAGAACAAAAAUAAAGAGAAAGAUGAAAUAUGAAUGCAGGGAAACCACAGAGAAAGAAAGAAAGAAAGAAAGUGAGAGAAGGGGGAGCUGAGUGGGGGGGAAACAGAGACAGAGUACAGAAAGACAAAAACAGAAAUACAGGGAAAAAUAAAAAAUACAGAAGGGGAAAUGCAAGAAGAGAAGAAAAGAAAGAAAGAAAGAAAGAAAGUGUGACUGAAAGAAAAGCAGAAAGAACAAAAAGAAAGCAAGAAAGUGGGAUGAAAAGAGAAAAGAAAGAAAGAAAGAGGGAGAAUGAAAAAGGGGGAACUGAAUGGGAAAAAGCAGAGAGAGAGUGAGAGAGUGUGAACACAAAGAAAGAAAGAAAGAAAGAAAGAAAGAAGUGAGAGGUCUAGAGAGGGCGUGAGGAAGGAAAGAGAAACUUACAGAAAGAAAGAAGAAAAAAAUGAAAUGAGUGUAGGGAAGCUGUGAAAGGAAAGGGCUUUCAGAUGAAUGCUCAAGGACACUAAGAACUUAAGGCAGACAAGCGUCUGCAGAGUUUCAUUUAGAAACUCUGCGAUGGCAUGAAAAUCCGUCAUGUCUGCUGUCUUCUCCGGCUGCUGGUUUUGGAAAUGUAAUUUAUUGCAGUGUGUGCAAUAUGAAUGAAGCCAAGAUGUGUCAUUAUUCAACUUAGUAGUUUCUAAAUGCCAGUACUGUCUUCAGUUUCUCUUUGAAAUGUACCCAGAGCUAAAAUCCCUAGAAUAGAGAUCAACUAAAACUUCACUGGACAAACGAAACCGACUGAUGAUCCACUCCUCACUCUCAGCGUAGCGUUUCCAGUGGUGCUAAAAACUCCUUCCUCUCUCCGCAAAGCUCCAUGAGACAAAUCUUCAAUCAAGGCAUAAUCCUAAUCCAUCUUUAUAAAUGUUUUCUUUUAUAUGAUUUUUAC